rnacentral:rRNA from 1 species
GAUGAACGCUAGCUACAGGCUUAACACAUGCAAGUCGAGGGGUAACGAGAGGAAAGCUUGCUUUCCUUGUCGACGACCGGCGCACGGGUGAGUAACGCGUAUCCAACCUGCCCCCAACUAGGGAAUAACCUUGCGAAAGUAAGACUAAUACCCUAUAAUUUCCUCAGAUGUCAUCUGACGAGGAAUAAAGAUUUAUCGGUUGUGGAUGGGGAUGCGUAUGAUUAGCUUGUUGGCGGGGUAACGGCCCACCAAGGCAACGAUAAGUAGGGGUUAUGAGAGGAAGGUCCCCCACAUUGGAACUGAGACACGGUCCAAACUCCUACGGGAGGCAGCAGUGAGGAAUAUUGGUCAAUGGGCGGAAGCCUGAACCAGCCAAGUAGCGUGCAGGAUGACGGCCCUAUGGGUUGUAAACUGCUUUUAUACAGGAAUAAAGUUAGCCACGUGUGGUUAUUUGUAGGUACUGUAUGAAUAAGGACCGGCUAAUUCCGUGCCAGCCGCCGCCGUAA